GAUGAAGAACGUAGCAAAAUGCGAUAAGUAAUGUGAAUUGCAGAAUUCAGUGAAUCAUCGAAUCUUUGAACGCACAUUGCGCCCCUUGGUAUUCCGAGGGGCAUGCCUGUUCGAGCGUCAUUAUCACCCCUCAAGCUCAGCUUGGUGUUGGGGCCGGCCCGUCACAGGGCCGCCCCUAAAAGCAGUGGCGGUGCCAUCUGGCUCUACGCGUAGUAAUACUCCUCGCGACAGAGUCCCGGUGGUGUCCUGCCAGAACCCCCCAUCUUUUUAAUGAUUGACCUCGGAUCAGGUAGGGAUACCCGCUGAACUUAAGCAUAUCAAUAAGCGGAGGA
rnacentral:misc_RNA from 1 species